UUACUGACCUGGCAGGGAGAUACCAUGGUCUUGAAGGUGGUUUUCCCAGGGCGAGGCUUAUCUGUUGAGCUCUGAAUGUGCUGACCCCUGUGAUACCCUCAAAUGUGGGAAACUCAGCUGCGUAAUUUGUGGUAGUGAGGGAUUGCAUUCACUCUUUCUCCUG